rnacentral:tRNA from 1 species
UAGCUCAGUCGGUUGAGCGUGGUGCUGGUAACAACAAGGUCGUGGGUUCGAUCCCCGU